GGUUUCGUCCGCCUUCGACCAUCGUCGGUUCAAGUUUUUUUUUUCACGCGCAAUCGUCCCUGCCGAAAACAUCGGGAUGCAAUCCCAUCUAUAGCACCGAUCCACCCCACCUCACCUCCGUCCUGGGCGGCUCGGCGCUGCCUCCUCCCCUCCCAAGCACGAUCCCCCAAGCACAGCCGCCGCCACACCCCCGUCAGAGUACACCUCCAAUACUCCUCUCUCUCUCUCUCUCUCUUGGAGCCGUCGUCGCUCCCCAUCCACCCGGCCCGGCGUGCAUCGGAUCGACCUUGUCCCCUCUCCUUGCAACGUGGAAGAUGGAAGGGGCGGCCAGUCGGCCACCAAUCUGAUGGCGGCGUGGUCAUCUACCUCCUCCCCUCUCCCCACGUUGGUCCAGCCUGUCUUCUCUACCAGAUCUGGCGGCCGCGUCGGCGAAACUGCUGGCAGUGACACGAUUCGCGGGUGUGGCGAUAGGAAACAUCGAUCGGUCGUCUUCGAGGCCGCCUACCACGGCGAUCCCGCAGUCCAUCCUCCCCGCCUCCAAGAUGUGGCCUGCACGAGGCCAUCUUCUCCUUUCCUCGGUGGCGUCCGUCCAAUGAAGAGCUACACCGCCGUGGCACCACAUGACUUGUGUUGUACCCUCGCCCCGCGGCCCUUCUAUGCUGGGAGGAGGCAGCGUUUGUCCGUAGCACCCCAUGUCCCACAUCAUCAUUCCUUUCUUACUUAGUGUCAUACAAGUGAUGCAAUCAUGAUUUGCUGGCCUUUUAACAUAUCCCUGAUGGAGUGGAGGGGAGGGGACAGACGGAUUGGAAAUACAAUGAGGAUGGUGCAUGGAGAACAUGCUCUGUUGCCAUCUUCAUCCGCGAGUUGGCUCCCAAAUCUAAAAGGCGCGUCUGACGAAACAGGAGUGUAACAGGGCACGGCUGCUGAACCAGGACAACCACAUAUGAGUUUUUGAUUUCUUAUUUGUUCGUCAGUGAGUCUAUAGCAUAGGAUUACACCAUACAUCAUUCUUCCCAUCAUUUAUGUUCUGCAAAUGAGAUAUGCAAUUUUUUCUUGGUAUCUUGGAUAAUCACAGUCUGGUUCUUGAAGUGCGAAAAUUAAACUGAUCUAAGUUAUUUUCUUUUUCAGGACCUGGUCACAAAUAAUGAGUUUGAGACAAACCUUGUGUCAUGUGUUAUCGCACUCAGAUAUUGGAGCCUUGGAGAAUGUAAAAGAAAUGUUAAACGAAUGUGAGAGCUUAUAUUUAUGAGGGACUUCCUGAUGAUUUAGUGAUUUAUGAUUCCUACAAGUAUAUAGGAAUAUUUCAGCUCCAUCAUAGGAAAAAUAAUCUGAAAUAGAGUUUCGGUUUGGCUAUCAUGGUGUUUACAGUCCAUUAUUCAUGCUUGCUUUGACACUUGUGUGUUAAAUCAAUGCUUAUGUAUCUUAUUAAUGUUGCUCAAAA